CUUUUUAUCCCGAGUAGGACGAAUGGCAGUACUUCCAUUGAGUUUUCGUUACUGUGACAAAUUGAUAGAGGUUUUUAGCUGACGAUGGAAUCUUUCUAUGGCGCCAUUACAUUGCGGGUGGU